ACAGGCGACGAAGUACUACAAGGAUAUUGCUAGUCGCCGCAAAAGAAACGCGCACGGAGGCACUUUAGAGGCAAUCGUUGCGCCGAUUUAGGAACAAUGGCCCACACAAUUACUUAAAACUGGAGCUCUCUGAGGGUGGUAAGGGGCGAUAUAAAUGCGUAAAUUCAAAUUGGGCGCAGAUGCAUCACCUUUGGAGUUCCCCUCACCGUUCGCACUCUAGAGUGAAGCUCGGCGUAAGUGCCUACGGAGUGCAAUUAGGAGUCUUCUUCUGACUCUGCCAGGGACUGCGGGCCAGGGAUGGGACCACACCCAGAGAAUCCGAUGAGCCAGCCGGCGCGGCCCACUG